rnacentral:rRNA from 1 species
UACGAAGGGUGCAAGCGUUAUUCGGAAUUACUGGGCGUAAAGCGUGCGUAGGUGGUUUGUUAAGUCUGUUGUGAAAGCCCCGGGCUCAACCUGGGAAUGGCAAUGGAUGCUGGCAAGCUAGAGUGCGGUAGAGGGUAGUGGAAUUCCCGGUGUAGCGGUGAAAUGCGUAGAGAUCGGGAGGAACACCAGUGGCGAAGGCGGCUACCUGGACCAGCACUGACACUGAGGCACGAAAGCGUGGGGAGCAAACAGG